UUAGUAUCAAUGCUACCCAUUUGUAUAGAAAAUAUGGAGGCCACGCAUUAAUUGCUACAGGUGUCGAUGCCAAUGGUGGUUUAUUUCCGCUAGCUUUCGCAAUUUGUAAGGGGGAGAAUGGCUCGAGUUGGGAGUGAUUUUUAAGUUGCCUAAGAAGGUAUAUAACAAGAUCUCGAGUUAUUACACUAAUAUCAGAUCGUUUUAAAGGGCUAGCGAACCUCGUUGCACUUGUAUUCCCACCAUCUGAAGGUCAUACUCAUCGAUGGUGUUUGCGACAUAUGAAGGCCAAUAUGAAUAUUCAUUAAAAAGCAAAAUACUUACUUAAAAUAUUUUAUCGAAUUGGGAAUGCUUCAAAAGAACGACAAUAUUACGCAUUAAAGGAAGAAUUGAAGGCUAUGGAUGAAGAAGCUUAUCUUUUGGUUGACAAUCUUCAUAACGAUAGGACAUACUGGGCUAAAGCUUUUGAUGGUGGUCGACGAUUCGGUAUUAUGACAACUAACCGAUCAGAAAGUUUAAAUGGGGUGUUGAGGGGAGUUUGCGCCUUACCAAUUACAGCUUUUGUGAUGACAACGUUUCAUCGAGUAGUAGAAUUUUUUCUAAAACAUCGGGCGGAGGGCGCUGCAAUGUCUACGCAAUGUCUCGACUGUUGAAAACACCAUCAAUAGCCAGAUGAGAAGUACUAGAGCAUAUACAGUUCGACGAUUUGGAUUUCACGAGUUCGGGCGGAGGGGGAAGGUCGAGUGUUGUUAUUUCGGGACAUUACUUCAGAUAUAGGCAUGGGACCACCUAUACAUUGGCCGCCCUGAGAUAGUAGGACCGCAGCCAAAGUUUGCCAACAUGCUACUAGGGUGUCGGUGGAAUACCAGGCUAGCUUUUCGGGACAAUGUCGGGGCUACUGACAUUGAGUUUUAUCAUGAUCAGCUGGAUCAGCAAUUAGAGUCUCAGAUUACAUAGAGGCCUUAUACAGACACAGUGUUAGAGACGCUCCCAUCUUUUUGUCUGGCGGGGUCCCAAGUUUGGCGAUCGAGUACCACCUUAGUCUGUUUCCACAUUAUUGAGCUGCAUCAUCCGGAUCGUGUGCUUCGACAGUUUGGGCUAUUACAGCAUAUACCUGAAGCAGUGCUUGCCAUACCUCGCAUCAAUUCACGAGGUAGAACAGAUGAGGAUUGGGCGGCAUACCAUGCUUCAUACAUUCAGCGUUGGAAUGAUAGAUUGGUAGAUAUAGCAGAGGUGGACCCUGAGAUAGAUCCAGAUCCUAUACGAGCUACCACUAUUUACAUGCAGUGGUAUUGGACGAUCACCAUGGGGUAGAUAUCUACACCUGUACAAAGGCCACCCCUCGCGUAUCACCCACGUGGUCACGUCGAGAGUAUUGGUCGAUAUCGUGCAGAGAUCACAUUAUACGAUCAGAUGUGUCUGCCGGAUAUUCCAGGAGGUGGAGUAUUAGAUGCCCUAUCACACGUUGCCGAUCAGAUGGAAACAGUUUUGGAGACUUUACCUACGCUUCCACACACUGUACCUCCACGAUCAGCAGACUAUGGUGGAGCAUCGACGUCCGGCCAUGCACCAGUAUAUAGUCCACCGAGGCCAUCAUCACCGAUAGAGGAGCCACCUUAUGUUAUGGACACGGCACCAGCACCAGUACCAGAGGAUCCACCUCGGCCUAUUGAUAUUGUUUAUCAUAGGCACCGACGACACAUGCGGUAUCAUCAUACAGAUCAGCCCUCUUCUUCAGCUCCUCCGCGGCCAGACAUAGUACCGACACCUACUAUGAUUGAGCACUAGAUCGGACGGGUGAUCGAGACGCAGGACACUCAGCCGGUUAUUGAGGGUGCUGCUAUCGAGCAUCUCGACCAAUUGGAGAUCUUAGAGCCUUUUGAUGAGCAUGGUGUUGAUCGUGGUCGCAGACGUAGUGGACGACGUGGUCGAGGGAGUAGGAGGAGAUCAUGAUAUUAUAUUUCUAUAUUAUUGUAAAACUUGCUUUAAUUUUUGAUAUUCUGUUGUGAUUAUCUAGUAUUAAUGCUUUAUUAAGAUUCUGUUGGUACUGAUGUGUGUAUUGUU